GAUAGCGUGGCCGAGCGGUCUAAGGCGCUGGAUUUAGGCUCCAGUCUCUUCGGAGGCGUGGGUUCGAAUCCCCACCACUGUCA